rnacentral:misc_RNA from 1 species
CAAAGAUUAAGCAUUGCAUGUGA